GUAUAGAUAAGGCAAUAGCCUCUAUGAGUUGCGGCAAACUAAUUUAUGUUAGAUAGUCAUAUUGUUUCAUGUUCAACGCGGUCGUGAAUCAGUGUAUUGAACAUAUGUGUCAUUUCUAAUAUUCUUUGUGAUAAAAUAAAAUAUCAAAAUGUGUUGCGUGUGUGAUUUGCUGUGCAAGAUCAUCAGUUGUGUGUCCACAAUAAUAGUAAUUGGAGCUAUAAUUCUUCUUAUACUAUGGGUUUAUAAAGUAUUUGACAAGUCUGAUAAUGAUACCAACUCCAAUGAGCAGCUUUUGCAGCGGGCUAUCCGGUCACCUAAAUUUGCAUGGCAGAUGUGAAUUAGAUUACUUACUUAUUUAUAAUAAACUCAUUAAUAUAAUAUUUACAGUACUCGAUUAUCCGGACAUAAGUUAUAAUGGAUUCUCGAUUAUCCGGAUCGUCCAUCACAAUCUAAUAACUUUGUAGAAAAUAUGUAGGUAUAUUCGUAAGUACAAAAAUGUACCUCUAAUCUCUUAAUAAACAUUUUUUUAAUAGUUUCAAAUAAAAACAUGUACAUAGAGGUAAGUUAUCUUUCUAAAAUUAUGAAUAUGUAUAAAAAUCACUUGUCUUCGUAUAAUUAAUUAUCCGGAUUUUCGCAUCUUGUCACGUCAGAAAUCAGUCCAGUUAGUCCAGUAUUUGAAAAUAUUUUAUAUUUGAGAAUCAUAAAAUAAUAUACAUAUUUAGAUACAAUUUUCUAAUAGCUCAAUCGUGUAACUAGAAAAGCACUCCGCACGCAUUGCUGAGAAAGUGAAUUCGAAUCCUGUCGAAUCGAGCUAUCGUCAUAUUUAUUUAUUUAAUCUAAUUCAUGUAUUACCUAUAUGUAAAUAUUAUUUAAAAAAAAUGUAUUUUAUUAUACUCUAAAUAAACCUCGUCUUUGUAAUUUUUUGACACAAAAUCUUAUAUGUAAUCAAUAAAGUACAAUACAAAAGUUUACAAUUAGUAUCAAAUCUGUAAUUUUAAAUAAAGAACAUAUCGUAUUCUAUUUUCUGUGAAUGUAUCAAGGAGACUUAUGUUAUGAAUUUAUGAAUUUUCAUUAAUAAUUUUGUAAUACACAAUGUUACCAAUAUUUAAUUUAAUUAUCAAAAUACGAAAGUUAUUCAUAAACGUAAUUUAUUGUAACGCAAAAUAUUGUUUUCAUAAAUUACAUCAUUGAUUAACAAUAUUUUUGAGGUAUAUAAAUACAUAGGUAUUAUUUACUUAAUAAUAUAUAAAGAGCACCAAAGAGAAGAAAUAAAAUUAAUUAUAAACUUUGUAUAUUUUGUCAUGACAUGAAGUGUUGGCAUUGUAUAGAAUCAAUUGUUUUGAAAGCUUUAUUAAAGGUGAAUCAUCAAUGUCGAUUCAAGAUUUCACGUAACAAGCUUAAAUACAAUAAUUCCUUCUUUUUUGAGUCAAUAGAAAAUAUUUCAAUGAAAGAUUAUUCAUUGAACUAUUUUUAUUUAUCUUUAUUUUAAUCUAUCAUUGCAUUACUUAUUCAAUAUGUAAGUAUCUAUUUUGAUACUUCUUUUAAUUGAAUAAUGUACUUAUGAAUAAAUAGCUUAUAUGAAUUAAUUAGUAUUAAAAAUAUUGUAAUUAUUAAAUACUGUAACACAUUCUGUAUAUAUAUAUAAUAUUUAUUUUAGAAGCAAAAAUCGCAUGACAACAAUUUUGUAUGACAUUAAACAACAUCUUCAGAAACAAUUAUAGCCUCUUUAUUAAUUUCUCAUUAUUCUUUUUUAAACAGAUCAUUGACAGUUUCAAUUAGAUACCUAAACGAUAGACUGAUCUUAAGUAAUUAAUGUAUAUUUUAGAUAAAAAUUACAUAGAAAAAAGCAACUGAUAUAUAAAUUUAAAAUAUCUUCUUAUUAAAUAAAGCUUGCUACUAUUUAUGAAAAUAAAAGAAUCAAAUCCAUAAUUUUCAUUUGCAUAAAACCUUUAUGUAAAUACCAUAUUAUACAAGUACAAACUGUAAAUAAGUUGGUAAGUGGCAUGUUUCUAAGUAGUUGUUACAUUAAUAUUCAAAGAAUUUUACUCGUAUUAAGUCGGGGAUAUUUUGCUUAUUCAAUCUCUCUGGCUAUCCGCUGAGAUACUAUAUCAAUUAAAGACAUAUUGAGUAUCUAUAUAA